GACGGAGGGGGCUAGCGUUGUUCGGAGUUACUGGGCGUAAAGGGCGCGUAGGCGGUGCAGCAAGUCAGGCGUGAAAGCCCCGGGCUUAACCUGGGAAUUGCGCUUGAUACUGCUGCGCUAGAGAUCGGGAGAGGAUGGCGGAAUUCCCAGUGUAGAGGUGAAAUUCGUAGAUAUUGGGAAGAACACCGGUGGCGAAGGCGGCCAUCUGGACCGCAUCUGACGCUGAGGCGCGAAAGCGUGGGGAGCAAACAGG
rnacentral:rRNA from 1 species